GGAAAGUAAAAGUCGUAACAAGGUUUCCGUAGGUGAACCUGCGGAAGGAUCAUUAAUGUGUUUGGGCCUCACGGCUCUUCAUUCCGACGCUGUGCGCCUUCGGGCUGCACGCUGAGGGAGCAUAUAUCCACCCCUGUGCACACACACGGUGGCGAGCUGGGUAACGGCUCGCCGCUGAUCUUUACACACGUCUAAAAGUCAUUGUAUGUUUAUUUGAGAUAAAAACACAACUUUCAGCAACGGAUCUCUUGGCUCUC
rnacentral:misc_RNA from 1 species